UUCCUGUCUCUCCGAAGUCAAGCUGUGAGUCUUUGUCAGAAAGGAACAAGUGAUCUAGCUCACUCCUUUCCUCUUUCUCUCUCUCUCCCUCCCCUUCCAUCUCUCUCGCUCUCUCUCUCUCUCUCCCUCCGCUCAACAUUCCUCUUUCUCCUGUUCAUCACUCCUCUCUCUCUCUCUCUCUCUCUCUCUCUCUCUCUCUCUCUCUCUCUCUCUCUCUCUCUCCCUCUCCCUUUCUCUGGUUCACACCCUCCUCUCCUCUCCCGAUCAGUCUCUAUGUGAAGGGAGUUCCGUAUAGUUACAGACUCGGCUGGAAGAAGAAGAAGCAAGGUAGUAAAAUGGAUUGGUGUCAGUCCGAGCGAUGGAAAGGGCAGAAAGUGGAAGAGAACAGAUCCCAAAGAGAACUUCAAAGAGGUCCACAGACGACACAAUCACAAUCACACUGCCCUAACCCAUCUGGACAAGAGGAAUACCUAUGUAAGAAUGCUGUUCAUCGACUACAGCUCAGCAUUUAACACCAUAGUACCCUCCAAAGUCGUCAUUAAGCCCGUGACCCUGGGUCUUGACUCCCCCCUUUGCAACUGGGUCCUGGACUUUCUGACGGGCCGCCCCCCAGGUGGUGAGGGUAGGAAAUAACAUCUCCACCCCGUGUGUGAAAGGAGUGUGCAAGGAGUCCUACAAACCUGACUCAGUUACACCAGCUUUGUCAGGAGGAAUGGGCCAAAAUUCACCCAACUUAUUGUGGGAAGCUUGUGAAAGGCUACGAGAAACAUUUGGCCCAAGUUAAACAAUUUAUAGGCAAUGUUACCAAAUACUAAUUGAGUGUAUGUAAACUUCUGACCCACUGGGAAUGCGAUGAAAGAAAUAAAAGCUGAAAUAAAUCAUUCUCUCUACUAUUAUUCUGACAUUUAGAAUUCCAUAAAGUGGUGUUCCUAUCUGAUCUAAGAAACUGAAAUUUUACUAGAUGUCAAGAAUUGUGAAAAACUGAGAUGAAAUAUAUUUGGCUAAGGUGUAUGUAAACUUCCAACUUCAACUGUAGUUGAAACAACUAGAUUUGUAUUUUUUACAGUGCACACUGAGGGGCAGCAAAAGGGUAUCUUCCUGUGGGAGGGAGAGUGUGGAAAUCAGGCCCCAUGAAAGAAUAGCCAAUUACUGCCUGCCUGGCAAUGCACCUCAGCCCACCCUACCCCUUUCCACCUCCCUCCUCAGGCCUCUUCCCUGUGGCCCAUCAUCGCUGCCUCCCUCUCUCUAUCUCUUUGUUUCUGUGUACAGAGGGAGCCCCUAGAUGGGGCCAGGUGUAUUUAAUAUUAGUCCUUCAUGUACUUCAAACGCGCCUGCCCCCAUCCUCCAUCCUCUCCUCCCCCCAUCUGUCUGUCACAGGUUUAUAAAUCACCAAGCAGACCGGCUCUGAAAAACAGAGGAUGAUAGGAGAGACGGAGAGGGGAAGGAGGGGAGAAUAAAGGUAGAGGAGAUAGCAGGAAGUGGAGAGAAGACGGGGGAUGAAAGAUGGGGAGAGGUGAUAUUAGAGAGGGUGGUCGGGAGGGAAGAGAAAGGUGAAGGGGCAGAGAAGAUAGGAGAGAAGACAGUCGCGAGGAGAGAAGGGGUGAGAGAGAAGUGCUUGGAUGAUAGUGGAGUAGGAGGAGAAAAGGAUGAGAAAAUAUUUGACUUGAGGAUGACGACAAAAGAUGAGAGACGAGAAUGGAAGAGACAAGAUGAGACGAGACAAUUGGGUGUCUAUCCAUGUCCUGCUAGAGGUAACAGUGAGCUCUAUUACCAUCAAGUAGGGUAGGGCUUUGCUAGGGAGUUGUGGACAUAGGUUGUAGACAGGGGUGGUGGAUGGAUGGAAUCCCAUGACUCCAGAUCAGAAGGUUGUGUGUUUGAUCCCAGUGGUCUACACUUGUUUUGUAUUUUUUGGUUUUAACCCUAUUCCAAACCAUAACCCUUACCUUAACCAUUCAGAAUGAGUGCCUACAUGUAAUGUUUUAAUCAUAUCCAAAACCAUAACCCUUCAUUUGGAGCUGCUUCACAAUUUGACAUUUUUAGAAAUGGAAUGAUACUGAGCAGGAGGAGUCAACCCAGGGAGUGAAAAAACGUUGGAGCAACUUCGAAAUUUUACAUUUGAAGAAAUGUGGAAAAGUGUCUAAUUCUA